rnacentral:misc_RNA from 1 species
UCCGGUUUGUUUCCGGCGGUCUCCCUAGAUAGACAACUAAGGACGAGGGUUGCGCUCGUUGCGGGACUUAACCCAACAUCUCACGACACGAGCUGACGACAGCCAUGCAACAUCUGUGCACCCGUCCCGAAGGAGGGCCUCUUUUCGGAGGCUUGCGAGUGCAUGUCAAGCCUUGGUAAGGUUCUUCGCGUCGCAUCGAAUUAAACCACACGCUCCGCUGCUUGUGCGGGUCCCCGUCAAUUCCUUUGAGUUUUAGUCUUGCGACCGUACUCCCCAGGCGGGCCACUUAAUGCGUUAGCUUCGGCACGGAAGGGGUCAACACCCCCCACACCUAGUGGCCAUCGUUUACUGCUAGGACUAC